rnacentral:rRNA from 1 species
UGGCUCAGAACGAACGCUGGCGGCAUGCUUUACACAAGCAAGUCGAACGGUAACAGGCCUUCGGGCGCUGACGAGUGGCGAACGGGUGAGUAAUGCAUCGGAACGUGCCCAGUCGUGGGGGAUAACGCAGCGAAAGCUGUGCUAAUACCGCAUACGAUCUGCGGAUGAAAGCGGGGGACCUUCGGGCCUCGCGCGAUUGGAGCGGCCGAUGUCAGAUUAGGUAGUUGGUGGCCUAAAGGCCUACCGGGCAGACGAUCUGUAGCUGGUCUGAGAGGACGACCAGCC